UUUACAUAUUACUCAGUACUCACUAAUGAAAUCCACAACACAUCAGUAGUGAGAUUCAAACAACGUCCUCCUGGGAUAUGUGUCGAAUCCUUAAAUGGUAGAAGGCAGUAGCAUAAAUUACCUUCCCCUUGGAGUGGUGUGUGAAAACCCUCUUGAUUGCUGAAAACCAACUCCCUUUCUUUCCCAUCUCAGUAGCAUUACUCUUUCUUCCUGUAAAGUUAAAAUCAAGAUUGUGUGAAUUCCAUAUUCUGCAAUAACAAUACAAGACUUUAUAUAAAUAUUAACACACACGCGCGCGCACACACAAGGAUAUACAACAAGAGACUAAACUAAGCUCACCAGAACAAUCGCCGGCAAGUAGGCAGCAUCACUAUAUUAUUUUC
rnacentral:lncRNA from 1 species